CGUCUAGUAGGGGCAGGGAUGAAAGAGCCAAAAGGAAAAUAAAGCAGGCCGUAGAUUAGCGCGGAGGGGCGCGGGGCAUGGCUUAAGGGGUUAGUCAAGGAAGGUCACUGGACUGUCAAAUAUCUGUAAGCGCUUUCCCCAGGGCCGCGUCGCUUCCUCUCUGACUCCAUCAGAGGGACUCUAUUCUGCGCAGUCUCUGUCCCUCUGUGUCCCUUCGUUUCAGUCCCUUUCGGAGCCUUCCCUGCUCUGCGUGUGCAUGCGGGCGAAGACCAGACCCAGAGCUCUGAGUGCGGGCCGCUCCUGCCCAUCCUCUCCUUUAACAACUCCCCCAUCCCCGGGAGGCCCGCGAGAGGGUCUAGGAAGCGCAGCCCCAGGACCCAGUCACCGUCGGGAGGCGGCGUCUGAGGUCCCGAUCACUAGAGCUGGGAGCUGCUGGAAACGCCGAGAAGUUUCCAGAGGGGGCUGGCGACAGCUACUCGUUCUCCCUCGGCGGCAGCUCUCCAAGCCUGCGCGGGCCAAUCACCGUCCUGGUAACCAGCAAUUUAUUUAGCGCCUAAUCUGUUUCCCUACGUGCUUCACGUGAAUUAUUUCAUUCAUUCCUCCUGGCAGCUUGAUUACUAUUACCCCACUUUAGGGAUCGACCCUACGCCGCGGCUAUUGCUGGCCGAGCUGGGCUUCGAACUAGACUGUCUGGCUCCAAACUACUCAGCGCUGGCCACAUUUCCCUUCGGUUCCCCACCGCAGAGCCGCAGCGAUCAGGAUCCCAUUUACAAAGGAGAAAAAUGAGGCCCGGAGAGAGUAAGCUCUGUCAGGCGCUGAGCGAAAUGUUUUAGUUCCUCAGCUCAUUUCCUUUCCUCAAGCUCUCUAAGAGGCGGAAUUCACGGGCCAGUAGCGAAGGAGGAAAGAGAACGAGAUAAGAGAGGGUUCGUUGGCGGUGGCUGCGCAGGUCGAAAUGGCAGCGUGAUGGAGGCACGGCCAGGUUUGGCUCCUACUGCUGUGUCGUCCCAGCUUCGUGGCCCUUGGCCGCAGAUCUAUCCUCUGUAAGACGGGACUGAAAAUGCCCACCUCCGAAAAUGGUUGAGAGAUUGGCAGAGGCCUCCUGUCCAGGCACUGGGAAGGCGCCGAGCUUCACUGGGGCUCCAUCUCACGCAGUCCCGAGGGGCCCCGCGCCACUCCCGCGUGGUUGGCGGGGGAAAGCUGCCGGUGCUGUGGAACGCAACCCGGUCAGGGAAGGCAGCUGCGAGCUUUUCGAGAGGGUGUGGGUGAAUCCCUGGCGGUUAUCUGUCGUCUGUGCCGAGCCCUGAGCCGAGGAGGGAGCGAGCGCCGAAAGGAGGUCGCGAGGGAGUCUCGGGCACUCGCUGCGAAGUCCGCGCUGCGAGGGACCACCCGAGUCGGCAGACGCUGCUCAGGUCUAAGCGCUCUCCUCUUUGCGCAGAAGCAGCGUUGACCCAUCACGGCAACCAGACCCGGCACCCACCCCGGAAACGGAGAACUGGGAGAAGAGAAAUUACAGCCAAGUUCUGAAAGCGCGGCGCGGGUCCCCGCCUCCACAUUGUCAUUGUCGGAUCCCAGCCCCAUGCCGCGGCGCACCCUGCUCCACACCGCUCGUCCUGCCUGGCGUCUGCCCUGCUGGCUGCUGUCGCCACGCCGGGGCCUUUUCCCGCACCCAAUCUUCUGGAGCCCACACUCGGUCCCCGCUGGAGAUGCAGCGAAAGAGGGGAGGGGAGAGCGUGGGGGAGAGGAUUUGACCGAGGUGAGCCAACUAGUGUAAAUGCUAAAGCAGCUGGCUUCUCGGUAACAUCUACCCCACCCUACCCCCAAAGUCGGCCUUUAUUGAUUAAAAAGAAAUGUCUUGGGAAUGCAUUUUUUAGACACAAAUAAGUUGGAGGCUUCCAUGGAAGGAGGUUGGAGACAAUUAUGAGGAGAAACUAGGAGCCUGUUUGUUCAGGCCCUUGGCCAGCUUGAAGCCAAAGUGGGUCACGUCUGCUGUGACUCUGGGUUUCAUUUCCUUAUUAAGUGAAAGAAUAAUGGAAUACACACACACACACUCUUGCGCACCCCACACCUGCGAGACUCCCUUCUCAGCGCCCCCAUGGAAGGGUAUUUGUGAAAGCACUUUGUAACCAGCAGAGACCCCUUGGAUGUGGUUGAUCCCCCCUUAUCUAUGGGGACGAGUCCAGAGGCUGUGCAGAACCCCUCUGGCCUUCCUGUCAUUCAGGCUCCAGAUACAAUCCUCAAGCCUCAAGCCUACAAGAGUUGCAUUUAUUGCUCAUUUUACCAGUUUGGAGACCGAGGCCAAGCCUGGAGGUAGUGGCCCUCUUUUCUUUACGCUGCCUGAAGCUUUAGCUUAGCAGAGAAAAUCCAUCAGAGAAGACAUCCCUCUAAUUGGGGAAGAAAAGAGGUGGUAGAUAUUGGUGCAUAAGCCUCUGAGCAAAGGGCUCUCCCA
ensembl:lncRNA